rnacentral:rRNA from 1 species
UACAGAGGUCCCAAGCGUUGUUCGGAUUCACUGGGCGUAAAGGGUGCGUAGGUGGUUGGAUAAGUUUGAUGUGAAAUCUCCGGGCUUAACCCGGAAACUGCAUUGAAUACUAUCUGGCUUGAGGGUUGGAGGGGGGACUGGAAUACUUGGUGUAGCAGUGAAAUGCGUAGAUAUCAGGAGGAACACCCAUGGCGAAGGCAGCUAUCUGGGCUAACACUGACGCUGAGGUGCGAAAGCGUGGGGAGCGAACGGG